UGGAAUUAUAAUUAAUACCGGCUUGUCUUAUCCUCUCCCUCUCUCGAGAUUCCUACAAGUCGCCUCCAUGUCCGCAGCCGAUCGUGACGCCGACGACCACCAGACCGCCUUCCUCAUCAUCUCCUCCUUCACUUGGAUACGAUCGGCGACCUCUAUUGCUCCUCCGCCUGAUGUCUCGGAUGUCGGACAAUCAUCACCAUUGUUGCCAUUUCGAGGAUUUCAGUUCUAGGUCUGCUAACAAAUGACUAUAAUUUUGAUCGCAAGUUGACAAUCUUGGCCUAGAGUGCUUCCGAAGUGGGUUCAUUGAUUCUAGGUAUCAAAUACUGUUUUCAAAGGAGAAGAUGAUGGUGGUGGAGAAGCUCUCUUCCUUAUAAGAUGAAGAAUAGGGUGGUUAAAAUUGUUAUGAUCCUAUUAAUUGCCCAUGCAUUGGCAGUCAAAUU